rnacentral:rRNA from 1 species
ACUCCUACGGGAGGCAGCAGUGGGGAAUAUUGGACAAUGGGCGCAAGCCUGAUCCAGCCAUGCCGCGUGAGUGAUGAAGGCCCUAGGGUUGUAAAGCUCUUUCACCGGUGAAGAUAAUGACGGUAACCGGAGAAGAAGCCCCGGCUAACUUCGUGCCAGCAGCCGCGGUAAUACGAAGGGGGCUAGCGUUGUUCGGAUUUACUGGGCGUAAAGCGCACGUAGGCGGACUAUUAAGUCAGGGGUGAAAUCCCGGGGCUCAACCCCGGAACUGCCUUUGAUACUGGUAGUCUUGAGUUCGAGAGAGGUGGGUGGAAUUCCGAGUGUAGAGGUGAAAUUCGUAGAUAUUCGGAGGAACACCAGUGGCGAAGGCGGCUCACUGGCUCGAUACUGACGCUGAGGUGCGAAAGCGUGGGGAGCAAACAGGAUUAGAAACCCUUGUAGUCCCA